CCCAAGAAGUAUUUCGUUGUUGGAUAAUAAUAAGCUCUGAACAAUACCUAGACAGCACUUUGAACAUGUUGUAUAUUACCGUAGACAACGCUGUAUUUUUCACGUGUCGGGGAAAUGCUACCGCCAUUGAUUGACAAAGCCUUCCGUCAAACAUAUGUUUGCCACCCUUUCGCUUUCAGCAUUUUUUCUGCCCAACCCAUUUGUAUAAAAUCGGAACGCCUCUAGUGUAAAAAUUAUUUAACACACCUGGAACAGUGCCGCAGCACACAGGACGAGGAGCACGGAAACCAUGGUCACCACAAGCGGGAAUUCUUAGCUUCCGUUCCUACGAGUCAGGCGCACCACCACAAUCACAGUCGAUCCUCCACCACCGCCGAGUUCCGUUGACAGGACAACGAAAACAACAGCUGAGCAUGAAAUCAAGCACUAGAAUCGCCACCCAUACGGCUGGUUAGCCCUUUUAUAGGGUGGAUCGCUUCUUCCGCCUCGGGCGCCGACCAUAUACUCGUCGCCAGCCGCAGUAAAGAAGGUGCCUGGUGGCUGGUGCAACUUGCUUCUUUUGUGAGCAUUAUAACGCACUUUUUCAGAAAGCCUAUAAUGGCCUAUUGACGGACAUAAAAAAAUAUAGGCUUGGUUAAAUCCCGAUGUUGGCUAAAGUCUUAGUAUUCUGAAAACUCUAAUUAAAAUUGUAUAUACAUUGAAUUACGCCAUCUGUCUUGGGGCUAUAGACUUUGCUGAGUAAUACUCCUCAUUUUAUUUCAUUUUGAAUAAUGCACAAUUAUCUAAACCACAAACUGUGAUUUUAUCGUUACUCUAUUAAUCCGGAGUGCAGUUCUGAAAAUUUAUCAUGUUGCGAGUAUAAACUUCUCUCCAGAAUCUAUGUACAAGUAGAUUGCCAACAACAUAAAUAUUAUUG